UACGGGGGGGGCAAGCGUUGUUCGGAAUUACUGGGCGUAAAGGGCGCGUAGGCGGUUGGAUAAGUCAGCUGUGAAAACCACGGGCUUAACUCGUGGCCUGCAGUUGAGACUGUCUGGCUUGAGUCCGGGAGAGGUGAGUGGAACUCCGAGUGUAGAGGUGAAAUUCGUAGAUAUUCGGAAGAACACCAGUGGCGAAGGCGGCUCACUGGCCCGGUACUGACGCUGAGGCACGAAAGCGUGGGGAGCAAACAGG
rnacentral:rRNA from 1 species